rnacentral:rRNA from 1 species
UAACACAUGCAAGUCGAACGCAGAACGUCCUUCGGGACAAGUAUGAGUGGCGGACGGGUGAGUAACGCGUGAGAAUCUGCCUUCAGGAGGGGGACAACCACUGGAAACGGUGGCUAAUACCCCAUAUGUCUACGGAUGAAAUAGUUUUUUGCCUGAAGAUGAGCUCGCGUCUGAUUAGCUAGUUGGUGGGGUAAGAGCUCACCAAGGCGACGAUCAGUAGCUGGUCUGAGAGGAUGAUCACCCACACUGGGAUUGAGACACGGCCCAGACUCAUACGGGAGGCAGCAGUUCGCCCGCCGCGCCCCGC